UACGAAGGGGGCUAGUGUUGCUCGGAAUCACUGGGCGUAAAGGGUGCGUAGGCGGUUCUUUAAGUCAGGGGUGAAAUCCUGGAGCUCAACUCCAGAACUGCCUUUGAUACUGAGGAUCUUGAGUUCGGGAGAGGUGAGUGGAACUGCGAGUGUAGAGGUGAAAUUCGUAGAUAUUCGCAAGAACACCAGUGGCGAAGGCGGCUCACUGGCCCGAUACUGACGCUGAGGCACGAAAGCGUGGGGAGCAAACAGG
rnacentral:rRNA from 1 species